rnacentral:rRNA from 1 species
GUUUGAUCAUGGCUCAGAGCGAACGUUAGCGGCGGGCCUAACACAUGCAAGUCGAACGCGAAAGGUCUUCGGACUGAGUAGAGUGGCGCACGGGUGAGUAACACGUAGGUAAUCUACCCUUUGGCGGGGAGUAACGUUCCGAAGGAGCGCUAAUACCGCAUAAGACCACGGAGUCUCCGGACGCUGUGGGAAAAGGUAGGCCUCUUCUUGAAAGCUACCACCGAAGGAUGAGCCUGCGUCCCAUCAGCUAGUUGGUAAGGUAAUGGCUUACCAAGGCGAAGACGGGUAGCUGGUUUGAGAGAAUGAUCAGCCACACUGGCACUGGAACACGGGCCAGACUCCUACGGGAGGCAGCAGUGAGGAAUAUUGGGCAAUGGGCGAAAGCCUGACCCAGCCACGCCGCGUGAGUGAUGAAGGCCCUCGGGUCGUAAAGCUCUGUGGAGAGGGACGAAAACCCUGGUUUCAAAUAGGCUCCAGGCUUGACGGUACCUCUUUAGCAAGCACCGGCUAACUCUGUG